rnacentral:rRNA from 1 species
UACGUAGGGUGCAAGCGUUUGUCCGGAAUUAUUGGGCGUAAAGAGCUCGUAGGCGGCCUGCUAAGUCGAACGUGAAAUCCCUGGGCUCAACCCAGGAACUGCGUCCGAUACUGGUUGGCUUGAAUCCGGGAGAGGGACGUGGAAUUCCAGGUGUAGCGGUGAAAUGCGUAGAUAUCUGGAGGAACACCGGUGGCGAAGGCGACGUCCUGGACCGGCAUUGACGCUGAGGCGCGAAAGCCAGGGGAGCAAACGGGG